rnacentral:rRNA from 1 species
UACGGGAGGGGGCUAGCGUUUGUUCGGAAUUACUGGGCGUAAAGCGCGCGUAGGCGGCUUUGUAAGUUAGAGGUGAAAGCCCGGAGCUCAACUCCGGAAUUGCCUUUAAGACUGCAUCGCUAGAAAUCAUGGAGAGGUGAGUGGAAAUUUCCGAGUGUAGAGGUGAAAAUUCGUAGAUAUUCGGGAAAGAACACCAGUGGC